GAUGAACGCUAGCGGCAGGCCUAAUACAUGCAAGACGAACGGUAAGUUGAGUAGCAAUACUUAGCCAAGAGUGUCGUACGGGUGCGUAACACGUAUGCAACCUACCCUAUACAGGAGGAUAGCCUAGGGAAACCUGGAUUAACCCUUCAUAGUAUUAUUGGAUGGCAUCAUUUGAUAAUUAAAACUGAGGUGGUAUAGGAUGGGCAUGCGUCUGAUUAGUUAGUUGGCGGGGUAAUGGCCCACCAAGACGAUGAUCAGUAGGGGUUCUGAGAGGAAGAUCCCCCCACACUGGCACUGAGAUACGGGCCAGACUCCUACGGGAGGCAGCAGUAGGGAAUAUUGGUCAAUGGAUGCAAGUCUGAACCAGCCAUGCCGCGUGCAGGAAGAAGGCCUUCUGGGUUGUAAACUGCUUUUGCCAGGGGAUAAAAUUUCCAUGCGUGGAAAACUGAAGGUACCUGGUGAAUAAGCCACGGCUAACUACGUGCCAGCAGCCGCGGU
rnacentral:rRNA from 1 species